rnacentral:misc_RNA from 1 species
GUCAAACUGGUCUCUACGGAUAUCCUCAUCUGAAUUAGCAUGAGCUAACAAUGCAUCCCAAACAUAUCCAGAUGUAGGAUCUACAAUCAUUACAUGUACAAAAAAGUUGGCCAAUUUAAUCACUGUUAUAUCAAAAUUGGAUCUCCAAGCAAAACAUAAGCCACUAGCUAUUCCAACUGGAUCUACUGUGAUUAGAUCAUAAAACCCACACUUAUGAAGCUUUUGCUAUACCACUUGUGUCUUGUUUUUUAUUUUCAUUAAGAAGACAAAAUUUGGGGAAUGGGAAGAACAUAUCCCUUUCAAGUUGUGGAUUGUCAGGGGUUCCCCACACCCUGACAAUU